GGGUUGUGAGGUUAAGCGACUAAGCGUACACGGUGGAUGCCCUGGCAGUCAGAGGCGAUGAAGGACGUGCUAAUCUGCGAUAAGCGUCGGUGAGGUGAUAUGAACCGUUAUAACCGGCGAUUUCCGAAUGGGGAAACCCAGUGUGUUUCGACACACUAUCAUUAACUGAAUCCAUAGGUUAAUGAGGCGAACCGGGGGAACUGAAACAUCUAAGUACCCCGAGGAAAAGAAAUCAACCGAGAUUCCCCCAGUAGCGGCGAGCGAACGGGGAGGAGCCCAGAGCCUGAAUCAGUGUGUGUGUUAGUGGAAGCGUCUGGAAAGGCGCGCGAUACAGGGUGACAGCCCCGUACACAAAAAUGCACAUAUUGUGAGCUCGAUGAGUAGGGCGGGACACGUGGUAUCCUGUCUGAAUAUGGGGGGACCAUCCUCCAAGGCUAAAUACUCCUGACUGACCGAUAGUGAACCAGUACCGUGAGGGAAAGGCGAAAAGAACCUCGGCGAGGGGAGUGAAAAAGAACCUGAAACCGUGUACGUACAAGCAGUGGGAGCCUCUUAAUGGGGUGACUGCGUACCUUUUGUAUAAUGGGUCAGCGACUUAUAUUCUGUAGCAAGGUUAACCGAAUAGGGGAGCCGAAGGGAAACCGAGUCUUAACUGGGCGUUAAGUUGCAGGGUAUAGACCCGAAACCCGGUGAUUCAGCCAUGGGCAGGUUGAAGGUUGCAACACUAACUGGAGGACCGAACCGACUAAUGUUGAAAAUUAGCGGAUGACUUGUGGGGUGAAAGGCCAAUCAAACCGGGAGAUAGCUGGUUCUCCCCGAAAGCUAUUUAGGUAGCGCCUCGUGAAUUCAUCUCCGGGGGUAGAGCACUGUUUCGGCAAGGGGGUCAUCCCGACUUACCAACCCGAUGCAAACUGCGAAUACCGGAGAAUGUUAUCACGGGAGACACACGGCGGGUGCUAACGUCCGUCGUGAAGAGGGAAACAACCCAGACCGCCAGCUAAGGUCCCAAAGUCAUGGUUAAGUGGGAAACGAUGUGGGAAGGCCCAGACAGCCAGGAUGUUGGCUUAGAAGCAGCCAUCAUUUAAAGAAAGCGUAAUAGCUCACUGGUCGAGUCGGCCUGCGCGGAAGAUGUAACGGGGCUAAACCAUGCACCGAAGCUGCGGCAGCGACACUAUGUGUUGUUGGGUAGGGGAGCGUUCUGUAAGCCUGUGAAGGUGGCCUGUGAGGGUUGCUGGAGGUAUCAGAAGUGCGAAUGCUGACAUAAGUAACGAUAAAGCGGGUGAAAAGCCCGCUCGCCGGAAGACCAAGGGUUCCUGUCCAACGUUAAUCGGGGCAGGGUGAGUCGACCCCUAAGGCGAGGCCGAAAGGCGUAGUCGAUGGGAAACAGGUUAAUAUUCCUGUACUUGGUGUUACGCGAAGGGGGGACGGAGAAGGCUAUGUUGGCCGGGCGACGGUUGUCCCGGUUUAAGCGUGUAGGCUGGUUUUCCAGGCAAAUCCGGAAAAUCAAGGCUGAGGCGUGAUGACGAGGCACUACGGUGCUGAAGCGACAAAUGCCCUGCUUCCAGGAAAAGCCUCUAAGCAUCAGGUAACAUCAAAUCGUACCCCAAACCGACACAGGUGGUCAGGUAGAGAAUACCAAGGCGCUUGAGAGAACUCGGGUGAAGGAACUAGGCAAAAUGGUGCCGUAACUUCGAGAAGGCACGCUGAUAUGUAGGUGAAGCGACUUGCUCGUGGAGCUGAAAUCAGUCGAAGAUACCAGCUGGCUGCAACUGUUUAUUAAAAACACAGCACUGUGCAAACACGAAAGUGGACGUAUACGGUGUGACGCCUGCCCGGUGCCGGAAGGUUAAUUGAUGGGGUUAGCGGUAACGCGAAGCCUUGAUCGAAGCCCGGUAAACGGCGGCCGUAACUAUAACGGUCCUAAGGUAGCGAAAUUCCUUGUCGGGUAAGUUCCGACCUGCACGAAUGGCGUAAUGAUGGCGCUGUCUCCACCCGAGACUCAGUGAAAUUGAACUCGCUGUGAAGAUGCAGUGUACCCGCGGCAAGACGGAAAGACCCCGUGAACCUUUACUAUAGCUUGACACUGAACAUUGAGCCUUGAUGUGGAUAGGUGGAGGCUUUGAAGUGUGGACGCCAGUCUGCAUGGAGCCGACCUUGAAAUACCACCCUUUAAUGUUUGAUGUUCUAACGUGGGCCUUACCGGGGUUGCGGACAGUGUCUGGUGGUAGUUUGACUGCGGUCCUCCAAAGAGUAACGGAGGAGCACGAAGGUUGGCUAAUCCUGGUCGGACAUCAGGAGGUUAGUGCAAUGGCAUAAGCCAGCUUGACUGCGAGCGUGACGGCGCGAGCAGGUGCGAAAGCAGGUCAUAGUGAUCCGGUGGUUCUGAAUGGAAGGCCAUCGCUCAACGGAUAAAAGGUACCGGGAUAACAGGCUGAUACCGCCCAAGAGUUCAUAUCGACGGCGGUGUUUGGCACCUCGAUGUCGGCUCAUCACAUCCUGGGGCUGAAGUAGGUCCCAAGGGUAUGGCUGUUCGCCAUUUAAAGUGGUACGCGAGCUGGGUUUAGAACGUCGUGAGACAGUUCGGUCCCUAUCUGCCGUGGGCGCUGGAGAACUGAGGGGGGCUGCUCCUAGUACGAGAGGACCGGAGUGGACGCAUCACUGGUGUUCGGGUUGUCAUGCCAAUGGCACUGCCCGGUAGCUAAAUGCGGAAGAGAUAAGUGCUGAAAGCAUCUAAGCACGAAACUUGCCCCGAGAUGAGUUCUCCCUGACUCCUUGAGAGUCCUGAAGGAACGUUGAAGACGACGACGUUGAUAGGCCGGGUGUGUAAGCGCAGCGAUGCGUUGAGCUAACCGGUACUAAUGAACCGUGAGGCUUAACCUUACAACGCCGAAG
rnacentral:rRNA from 1 species